rnacentral:lncRNA from 1 species
GCCGGACUAUCUGGAUUUUUAAUGCAGUAAAGGAAGGCUAUUGGAUACAGUCAAGUACUUAUGAAGUUUGUGUGUGGAUCAAGAUGGGAUUCACCCCUUCAGAUUAUUAGAGUUGAUGUAUCAUUGUAUUUCAAUUUAGUAAAGCCUUGGCUAGGGUAAUCCAUGAGAUGGAUUUGAAAGAUUAAAAUACAAUGUGAAUGAAGCUA